CAGGGAUUGCCCUAGUAACGGCGAGUGAAGCGGCAACAGCUCAAAUUUGAAAUCUGGCCCUUGGGUCCGAGUUGUAAUUUGUAGAGGAUGUUUUUGGUGCGGUAUCUUCCGAGUUCCUUGGAACAGGACGCCUUAGAGGGUGAGAGCCCCGUACGGUUGAAUGCCUAGCCUUUGUAAAACUCCUUCGACGAGUCGAGUAGUUUGGGAAUGCUGCUCUAAAUGGGAGGUAAAUUUCUUCUAAAGCUAAAUACCGGCCAGAGACCGAUAGCGCACAAGUAGAGUGAUCGAAAGAUGAAAAGCACUUUGAAAAGAGGGUUAAAUAGCACGUGAAAUUGUUGAAAGGGAAGGAUUUAUGACCAGACUUUUUCUAGGCGAAUCAUCCGGUGUUCUCACCGGUGCACUUCGUUUAGUUUAGGCCAGCAUCGAUUUUCGGGGCGGGAUAAAAGCUUUAGGAAUGUGGCUCCCUCGGGAGUGUUAUAGCCUAUUGUAUAAUACCGCCUUGGGGAUCGAGGUACGCGCUUCUGCAAGGAUGCUGGCGUAAUGGUUAUCAAUCACCCGUCUUGAAACACGGACCAAGGAGUCGAACAUUUGUGCAAGUGUUUGGGUGUUAAACCCUCACGCGUAAUGAAAGUGAACGGAGGUGAGAGCCCUUUACGGGGUGCAUCAUCGACCGAUCCUGAUGUCUUCGGAUGGAUUUGAGUAAGAGCAUAAAUGUUCGGACCCGAAAGAUGGUGAACUAUGCGUGGAUAGGGUGAAGCCAGAGGAAACUCUGGUGGAGGCUCGCAGCGGUUCUGACGUGCAAAUCGAUCGUCAAAUCUGCGCAUGGGG
rnacentral:rRNA from 1 species